GAUGAACGCUAGCGAUAGGCCUUACACAUGCAAGUCGAGGGGCAGCGCGGGAAAGUAGCAAUACCUUCUUGGCGGCGACCGGCGGAUGGGUGAGUAACGCGUAUGCAACCUACCUACUACUUUGGGGAUAGCUCGUUGAAAGACGAAUUAAUACCUUAUAAUACAGGGACUCCGCAUGGAGAUAUUUGUUAAAGAUUCAUUGGUAGUAGAUGGGCAUGCGUUCCAUUAGUUAGUUGGUGAGGUAACGGCUCACCAAGACAACGAUGGAUAGGGGAACUGAGAGGUUUGUCCCCCACACUGGAACUGAGACACGGUCCAGACUCCUACGGGAGGCAGCAGUGAGGAAUAUUGGUCAAUGGAGGCAACUCUGAACCAGCCAAGUCGCGUGAAGGAUGACUGCCCUACGGGUUGUAAACUUCUUUUUAAGGGAAUAAAGUGAGCCACGUGUGGCUUUUUGCAUGUACCUUACGAAUAAGGAUCGGCUAACUCCGUG
rnacentral:rRNA from 1 species